rnacentral:rRNA from 1 species
AGAGUUUGAUCCUGGCUCAGAACGAACGCUGGCGGCGUGCUUAACACAUGCAAGUCGAACGCGAACGAGUUCUUCGGAACUUUAGUAGAGUGGCGCACGGGUGGGUAACGCGUAAGUAAUCUACCCUCGCAUCUGGGAUAACCCACCGAAAGGUGUGCUAAUACCGGAUACGUCUAAGUUAAUAUCUUUUUUUUAGAGAAAGGUGGCCUCUGAUUCAAGCUACUGUGCGGGGAGGAGCUUGCGUACCAUUAGCUAGUUGGUAGGGUAACGGCCUACCAANGCGACGAUGGUUAGCGGGUCUGAGAGGAUGAUCCGCCACACUGGAACUGAAACACGGACCAGACUCCUACGGGAGGCAGCAGUGAGGAAUAUUGCGCAAUGGGGGCAACCCUGACGCAGCGACGCCGCGUGGAUGAUGAAGGCCUUCGGGUUGUAAAAUCCUGUCAGAUGGGAAGAAGUGUGUAGUACUUAAUACGUGCUACAUUUGACGGUACCAUCAAAGGAAGCACCGGCUAACUCCGUGCCAGCAGCCGCGGUAAUACGGAGGGUGCAAGCGUUGUUCGGAAUUACUGGGCGUAAAGCGCGCGUAGGCGGCUAUGUAAGUCAGAUGUGAAAGCCCGCGGCUCAACCGUGGAAGUGCAUUUGAAACUGUAUAGCUUGAGUACUGGAGGGGGCAGUGGAAUUCCCGGUGUAGAGGUGAAAUUCGUAGAUAUCGGGAGGAAUACCGGUGGCGAAGGCGACUACCUGGCCAGAUACUGACGCUGAGGUGCGAAAGCGUGGGGAGCAAACAGGAUUAGAUACCCUGGUAGUCCACGCCGUAAACGAUGUCAACUAGGUGUUGGAGUGGUUAAUCGCUUCAUUGCCGGAGCUAACGCAUUAAGUUGACCGCCUGGGGAGUACGGUCGCAAGAUUAAAAACUCAAAGGAAUUGACGGGGGCCCGCACAAGCGGU